rnacentral:rRNA from 1 species
UACGGGAGGGGCAAGCGUUAUCCAUCAUUACUGGGCGUUAAGAGUUCGUAGACGGUAAAGCAAGUUUUUCAUGAAAUUUUAAGUAAAAAGCUUAAUACAGUUUGAAAAAGACUACUUUACUAGAGUUUUGCACAGAAAAACGUAAUUUCACACCUAAGGGUGAAAUCUGUAUUUUAUACGUGUGAAGGAGCGCCAGUUUGCGAAGGCGGUUUUUUGGUGUGUAACUGACGUUGAGGAACGAAAGUGUGGGUAGCAAACAGG